rnacentral:rRNA from 1 species
AAUAGUUAAAGGGCCGCGGUAUUUUGACCGUGCAAAGGUAGCAUAAUCAUUAGUCUUUUAAUUGAAGACUUGUAUGAAUGGUUGGACAAAGGAAAGGCUGUCUUUAUAAUAUUAUUUGAAUUUAACUUUUAAGUGAAAAGGCUUAAAUAAACCAAGGGGACGAUAAGACCCUAUAAAACAUUUUGUUGGGGCGACAUAGAUAUAAAUAGCAACUGUCUAAAUAAAAUACUGUAAAUUUAUGAAUUGACUGGUCCUUUUUAGAGAUUAAAAGAUUUAGUUACUUUAGGGAUAACAGCGUGAUUUUUUUUGAGAGCUCAUAUCGAAAAAAAAGUUUGCGACCUCGAUGUUGAAUUAAAAUAUCUAUAUAGUGUAGUUGUUAUAAAAGAAGGUCUGUUCGACCUUUAAAUUUUU